GAUGAACGCUGGCGGCGUGCCUAAUACAUGCCAGUCGAGCGAACAGACGAGGAGCUUGCUCCUCUGACGUUAGCGGCGGACGGGUGAGUAACACGUGGAUAACCUACCUAUAAGACUGGGAUAACUUCGGGAAACCGGAGCUAAUACCGGAUAAUAUAUUGAACCGCAUGGUUCAAUAAUGAAAGACGGUUUUGCUGUCACUUAUAGAUGGAUCCGCGCCGCAUUAGCUAGUUGGUAAGGUAACGGCUUACCAAGGCAACGAUGCGUAGCCGACCUGAGAGGGUGAUCGGCCACACUGGAACUGAGACACGGUCCAGACUCCUACGGGAGGCAGCAGUAGGGAAUCUUCCGCAAUGGGCGAAAGCCUGACGGAGCAACGCCGCGUGAGUGAUGAAGGUCUUCGGAUCGUAAAACUCUGUUAUUAGGGAAGAACAAAUGUGUAAGUAACUAUGCACGUCUUGACGGUACCUAAUCAGAAAGCCACGGCUAACUACGUG
rnacentral:rRNA from 1 species